UACGUAGGGUCCGAGCGUUGUCCGGAAUUAUUGGGCGUAAAGGGCUCGUAGGCGGUCUGUCGCGUCGGGAGUGAAAUCUUACAGCUUAACUGUGAACUUGCUUCCGAUACGGGCAGACUUGAGGCAUUCAGGGGAGAACGGAAUUCCUGGUGUAGCGGUGAAAUGCGCAGAUAUCAGGAGGAGCACCGGUGGCGAAGGCGGUUCUCUGGGAAUGUACUGACGCUGAGGAGCGAAAGUGUGGGGAGCGAACAGG
rnacentral:rRNA from 1 species